AAAGAGCUAGUUUAAAAAAAAUAGGUGACUUCGACCCACCAAAUCUUAGUAACAAACUAAGGCUCUUUU
rnacentral:tRNA from 1 species